rnacentral:lncRNA from 1 species
GACUCAGUCGAUUACAUGUCAUCAAAACCAUUACAUGGUCAUCCCGUCUCUUCAUUCUUGACUCUAAAUCACGACCCUAUAGGCAUAAUUUAUUUUUAGUGGAAUCACGGCCCCACUCGGCAAAUUUUCUAAACUUGGUGGCAUCACGGCCCCACCUGGCAAAUGUUCUCAACUUGGUGGCAUCACGGCCCCACCUGGCAAUUUUUCUCAACUUGGUGGCAUCACGGCCCCACCUGGCAAUUUUUUCUCAACUUGGUGGCAUCACGGCCCCACCUGGCAAUCUUUAAUCCAACUCACAACCUCACACAGUUACUUUCCUUUCAAGUACCGACAUUUUCCCAAUUUUGGGACAAAUUCUCAUAUUCACCAAUUUCACAAAAAAUUCAUAAUCUGAUGCUCGAAUAAAUAAACAGAAAGCACCAUUGGAAUCAGCACAAAAUUUCGGUCGUCGGCUAUCCCAGCCUAAUUUCCGGAAAAUAAAUAAUUAAUUAGAUAAUUACGGAAAAUAUUAAAUAAAUGCAAUAAAUCCAACUUAGGCCCGUUAUAGCCUAAUUGGAAGCCGAUACGAACCCGGAAAAUUACCGAGACUCGUUCCAUAAAUAACAUGGCAUGCCUACUUGCUAAUGUCUAUUUAUAACCACCUAACAUGCAUCAUUAAGUCUCUAAUUUAAUUGAUCUAAACUAAUCUAACCACCUAAUUGCAUUUAAUUAAAUCUAACCAACCCCUAAACGAAUUUAGCAAACUAAUAAAGCAUUAGUGAGUAAAACUCAC